rnacentral:rRNA from 1 species
UACGGAGGGUGCAAGCGUUAUCCGGAAUCACUGGGCUUAAAGGGUGCGUAGGCGGCUAUGUACGUCCGUUGUGAAAUACCUCGGCUUAACCGAAGGAAGUGCGAUUGAUACUGCGUAGCUUGAAUCAGGUUGAGGUAGGCGGAAUGUGACAUGUAGCGGUGAAAUGCUUAGAUAUGUCAUAGAACACCGAUUGCGAAGGCAGCUUACUGGGCUUUGAUUGACGCUGAGGCACGAAAGCGUGGGGAGCAAACAGG